UACGUAGGUGGCAAGCGUUGUCCGGAAUUACUGGGUGUAAAGCGCGUGUAGGCGGGAGGCCAAGUCUGCUGUGAAAUCGCCCGGCUCAACUGGGCGGGGUCGGUGGAAACUGGUCACCUGGAGGACGGUAGAGGCGAGUGGAAUUCCCGGUGUAGUGGUGAAAUGCGUAGAGAUCGGGAGGAACACCAGUGGCGAAGGCAGCUCGCUGGGACGUGACUGACGCUGAGACGCGAAAGCGUGG
rnacentral:rRNA from 1 species